UAUUUCUUUAUUUAUUUGAAAAGCAGGGUAAAACAAGACACGCAAUCAUUUUUACUGAUGAGAUAGCUGAUUGUUGACGUGUCAGGUAACAGGGGACGGCCAAGUAGGGUUGACGGCUGUUUCAAAUACGGCCUCUCUGUUGUCGCCACUCGGAAAUAACAAUGGACCACAAAAUGGCGGCGGGGGUGUGCAUCAACGAGGGAGUACUGUUGGAACUGAGGAAGCGAAAACGGACCCGAAACCUGAAGAAAUUCGAAUUAACAAGUUCCCGCCCAGCGCCCGGCCCGAGCGAGUGGGCUGGAACCCGGUCUACUGGAGCGAGUACCCCAAGGAGCCCAUGUGGACAGUGCCAAUGCCCAAGAUGUCCGCGACCAUCUCCUCUGGGAGACUCAAUGACUUGACCAUCCUACCAUGCCACGUCCCGCCCACCGAGUACAUGACCAUCGCCAGCUGUCCGACAUGGGUGCCAGAGAUCCCCCACAGGAUACCUGCAUGGAACCCGUACGUCAGCGAGACCAACACCUGCUUCAGGGACCUUCAGGGUCCGUUAAACCAUUAGAUAACAGUACCAGAUAUCAACAUCUGCAGGGUCCGUUAAACCAUUAGAUAACAGUACCAGAUAUCAACAUCUGCAGGGUCCGUUAAACCAUUAGAUAACAGUACCAGAUAUCAACAUCUGCAGGAUCCGCUAAACCAUUAGAUAACUACCAGAUAUGAACAUAUGCAAGGUCCGUUAAACCGUUAGAUACAGCACCAGAUAUACCA